rnacentral:lncRNA from 1 species
AGAAUUGUAGUGAGGACACUCCCGCAACUCUGUGGAGGAACCCAAAUGGCGAGCAUCUGAAGCCUCCUGCUAAAAGCCAGCAAGGAGCUGAGGCCUCUUGAUAACAGCCAGGUGAGCGAGCCAGCUGAGAAGUGGAUCCUCCAGCCCAGUCAAGCCUUCAGAUGACUGCAACCCCAGCCAACAUCCCGACUGCCACCUCUUGAGAGACUCUGUGCCAGAGCCAUCCAUCCAGCUAAGGCACUUGAGAAGGAGACAGACUCUCUGGGUCUAAGAACUACGGGCCCCAGGAGAAUUUUCAGUCAACGUGGAAAUGCCAAGGAGGAUGAGGAGGUCUUUCCGAGAUUCAACAGGGUCUUCAUGAAAUCUCUGAAAUAUCUGUAUUGUGUUGGUCCCCCAAGUUUCUUUUGUGAAGAUGGGAGCAACAUGUGAUAUUCCCACUUCCUCUUUUUAAAACCAUCACUGGGCUGUCAUUUCAGCAACAUCUUAACAAAUGAAAAUCCUCCUCUGAGUCAAUAGUAAUUAUAGGAAUUUAUCACAAUUGCCAAUCAAGGUGUUCUGAAGAGACUCAUCUUUCUUGUUAAAUUAGCUUUCACUGCACGCAAACAGUGAGUUAUCUUUAGGAAAUCAAUUGCAGGGAAAUUACAGCUUUCAUGGAGUGAUAUAACCUUGCCAACCGUCUUGUUAUACAUAAUUCCUCUACCAAAAAAUUCAGCUGGGCUCCUGUGACUUAUUUUCGGGAUUAUAUUUCAAAGCAUGAAAUGUGGAAAAGUCAACUUCUAGAGGCCCAGGAUGGAGGUGGAGGCAAUGACCUUGGGAACGUCCCAAGACACUUGUAGCCAAUUAAACUGUCACCCCAGAUGAGGACGUGAUGACCCCCGGGCAGACAGCCUAUGCUGAUAGCCAUCAUCAAUGACAACUGAAAGAUCAGGGUAUAUGGCAACUGCUCCAUUCUCUGAUGCAUAUCCAAUAAAACAAAGGACUAUCAGGAACUGGGACCAGAUGUCUGCCCUACCCAGAGACCAGCCACCUCCCCGACCUGGAGACUGGCCUGUAUAUAACUAGCCUGUCGUCU